rnacentral:rRNA from 1 species
UACGGAGGGUGCAAGCGUUAAUCGGAAUUACUGGGCGUAAAGCGCGCGUAGGCGGUUUGAUAAGUCGAUUGUGAAAUCCCCGGGCUCAACCUGGGAUUGCAGUCGAGACUGUCAGACUAGAGUGUGGGAGAGGGUGGUGGAAUUCCCGGUGUAGCGGUGAAAUGCGUAGAUAUCUGGAGGAACACCGGUGGCGAAGGCGGCAUCCUGGACCGAUACUGACGCUGAGGAGCGAAAGCCAGGGGAGCAAACGGG